rnacentral:rRNA from 1 species
CAGCAGCCGCGGGAAUACGUAGGGUGCGAGCGUUAAUCGGAAUUACUGGGCGUAAAGGGCGUGUAGGCGGCCUGGGGCGUCCCAUGUGAAAGGCCACGGCUCAACCGUGGAGGAGCGUGGGAUACGCUCAGGCUAGAGGGUGGGAGAGGGUGGUGGAAUUCCCGGAGUAGCGGUGAAAUGCGCAGAUACCGGGAGGAACGCCGAUGGCGAAGGCAGCCACCUGGUCCACUUCUGACGCUGAGGCGCGAAAGCGUGGGGAGCAAACCGGAUUAGAUACCCCGGUAGUCCCUGUCUCUUAUAC